UUUGUACUCCCUCCGUCCCAAAAUUCUUUUCUUAAAUUUGUCUAAAUACGGAUGUAUCUAGUUACAUUUUAGUGUUAGAUACAUCCGUAUCUAAACAAAUGUAAGACAAGAAUUUUGGGACAGAGGGACCACUAC
rnacentral:pre_miRNA from 1 species